AGGGUUCGAUUAUGGCUCAGGACGAACGCUGGCGGCGCGCCUAACACAUGCAAGUCGAACGGAGCUAUGUUGAAAGCUUGCUGGAUAGAUAGCUCAGUGGCGGACGGGUGAGUAACACGUGAGUAACCUGCCUUUCAGAGUGGAAUAACGUUUGGAAACGGACGCUAAUACCGCAUGACAUGGCGAGGAGGCAUCUCCUUGCCAUCAAAGAUUUAUCGCUGAAAGAUGGGCUCGCGGCCGAUUAGGUAGUUGGUGUGAUAACAGCCCACCAAGCCGACGAUCGGUAGCCGGACUGAGAGGUUGAUCGGCCACAUUGGGACUGAGACACGGCCCAG
rnacentral:rRNA from 1 species